GACGAACGCUGGCGGCGUGCCUAAUACAUGCAAGUCGAGCAAGCUUGCCUAGAUGAUUUUAGUGCUCGCACUAAAUGAAACUAGAUACAAGCGAGCGGCGGACGGGUGAGUAACACGUGGGUAACCUGCCCAAGAGACUGGGAUAACACCUGGAAACAGAUGCUAAUACCGGAUAACAACACUAGACGCAUGUCUAGAGUUUGAAAGAUGGUUCUGCUAUCACUCUUGGAUGGACCUGCGGUGCAUUAGCUAGUUGUAAGGUAACGGCUUACCAAGGCAAUGAUGCAUAGCCGAGUUGAGAGACUGAUCGGCACAUUGGGACUGAGACACGGCCAAACUCCGUACGGGAGGCAGCAGGUAGGGAAUCGUUCCACAAUGGAACGAAAGUCUAGAUGGGA
rnacentral:rRNA from 1 species